GGUUCAGAUAUUCUUGUUGCUGCAAUUCACAAGUUUAUCGAAUUGGAUGUUCAAAUUGUAGUCCUUGGAACUGGCAAAAAGGAGUUUGAGCAGGAGAUUGAACAGCUCGAAGUGUUGUACCCUAAUAAAGCUAAAGGAGUGGCAAAAUUCAAUGUCCCUUUGGCUCACAUGAUCACUGCUGGUGCUGAUUUUAUGUUGGUCCCAAGCAGAUUUGAACCUUGUGGUCUCAUUCAGUUACAUGCUAUGCGAUAUGGAACAGUGCCAAUCUGUGCCUCAACUGGUGGACUUGUUGACACUGUGAAAGAAGGCUAUACUGGAUUCCAUAUGGGAGCCUUCAAUGUUGAAUGCGAUGUUGUUGACCCAGAUGAUGUGCUUAAGAUAGUAACAACAGUGUCAAGAGCUCUUGCAGUCUAUGGCACCCUUGCGUUUGCUGAGAUGAUAAAAAAUUGCAUGUCAGAGGAGCUCUCUUGGAAGGAACCUGCCAAGAAAUGGGAGACGUUGCUAUUGGGCUUAGGAGCUUCUGGCAGUGAACCCGGUGUCGAAGGGGAAGAAAUCGCUCCACUUGCCAAGGAAAAUGUAGCCACUCCCUAAAUGAGCUUUGGUCUUAUCCUUGUUUCAACAAUAAGGUCAUUAAUUAUGUAGAACCCUAAUAUGGGGUCUCAGUCAUCUAUAAAAUGAAUGGUUUUUGCUGGGGAGCAGCAGGUUAAUGUUUUUGUAGGGAAGGGUCAAUAGAAAAUAGUUAUUACUAAUGUUUGCGACUAAAUGCUUAGUAAUGUUAGCAUAAAUAAUACUAGUAGCUAAUAUGCGUG
rnacentral:misc_RNA from 1 species